GACGAACGCUGGCGGCGCGCCUAACACAUGCAAGUCGAGCGAUGAAAUUUUAACCGAUCUCUUCGGAGAGAAGAUAAAAUGGAUUAGCGGCGGACGGGUGAGUAACACGUGAGAAACCUGCCUUUCACAAGGGGACAGCCUCGGGAAACCGGGAUUAAUACCCUAUGACACAUUUCCUUCGCAUGGAAGAAAUGUUAAAACUCCGGUGGUGAAAGAUGGUCUCGCGCCUGAUUAGCUAGUUGGUGGGGUAACGGCCCACCAAGGCCAUGAUCAGUAACCGGCCUGAGAGGGUGAACGGUCACAUUGGAACUGAGACACGGUCCAAACUCCUACGGGAGGCAGCAGUGGGGAAUAUUGCACAAUGGAGGAAACUCUGAUGCAGCGACGCCGCGUGAGCGAUGAAGGCUUUCGAGUCGUAAAGCUCUGUCCUAUGGGAAGAUAAUGACGGUACCAUAGGAGGAAGCCCCGGCUAACUACGUG
rnacentral:rRNA from 1 species